GGAAGCCUGACUGCCUGGCCCGGGACGGCGCUCGCAGCCAGGCAGGGCCCAGAGCAGUCCUCCCUCGGCAUGGGGCUGGAGGCUCAGAGGCUGCCAGGGGCUGAGGAGGCCCCAGUGCGGGUUGCCCUGCGAGUUCGACCACUGCUGCCCAAGGAGCUGCUGCACGGGCAUCAGAGCUGCCUGCAGGUGGAGCCAGGGCUUGGCCGCGUCACUCUGGGCCGUGACCGACACUUUGGCUUCCACGUGGUGCUGGCCGAGGAUGCCAGGCAGGAGGCCGUGUACCAGGCCUGCGUUCAGCCCCUCCUUGAGGCCUUCUUCGAGGGCUUCAAUGCCACUGUCUUUGCCUAUGGUCAGACGGGCUCAGGGAAGACAUACACCAUGGGGGAGGCCAGUGUGGGUGAGUGACCCUGUUCGUGGCCCUGUGCCCACUUUAAGGAGCCUUAGUUCCUUCCUGGAUUUCUGCCCCGUCCUCUUGCUGCCUGUUCUGUGGAAGGUGGGGAGGCCGGGGGAGGAAGAGUCGAUUUCCUAGACAGGGAUCUGUGGCCCAGGCUGGGACCAGCCAUGUCUGUGGGCUAGGCAGGGCAGGAAGGAAGGGUCGUUGGAGGUGAGUGGCCUCACCUCCAUAGAGAUGGCGCCAUGCUGCCUGGCUCUGGGGACCUCAGCAGAGGAAGGGCACGGGAAGGUGGCGUGUCUCUAGAGGUUGUCAGGCUGGCUAGGGAAGGUCAGGAAUCUGUGUUCUAGCUGGAGCAGUUGGGAAUGGGGGCCGUGUGUCCUGGAAGAGGCUGCUUUGGAUACUGCACAGCAGGGCUGCAAGGUGCUUCAGCCAGGCUCUGGAGCAGUUUCGAGAAAGAUCCUUUGGGCCAACUGAAGGAAGUGUCCCCUUUUAAGUAACACAAGCUGUUUUCUGUCGGGUUACUGCCUUGCUCUGCUCCCUUCACUAUAACAGAAUACCAUAGACUGGGUGGCUCCUCAAGAGAAAUUUAUUCCUCACAGUUCUGGAGGCUGGGAAGUUUAAGAUGAAGGCACCAGCAGAUUGAAGGGCCUUCUUCCUUACAGACAGUCGCCGUCUCUCUCUAAACUCACAUGGUAGAACACAGAAGGGGUCUCUUUCAGCUCUCUUUUAUAAGGGAGCUAAUCCCAUUUAUGAGGGCUCCCCCCAUCCACUUCCCAAAGCCCUCACUUCGAU
rnacentral:lncRNA from 1 species